GGGAUGCAGCCAACAAGCCAGAGACAGUCUGGUAAAAAGCCCACCCCAGACCAUCUGGAUUAGAAGCCGAAUGGACUGAGCCUUCCAGCAGGAUACUACGUCUGUGAUCAGGAUAUAAGACCAGCACUUCUCCAAAAUGGGUCCUGCAUGAAAACGGAUGAAUUGUGACCACUCUGAAGAUGGUAUCCAAUUCUGGGAUGUCACUAUGUGGCCUGCAGGACUGCUGGGAGUGCUGGAGCCUACUCUCCUCCCCUAAUACAAGCUCUGGAGCAUUAGAGUUCAAUAGAGGGUACUGACUUAUUCACUGCAGACUCUUCAUUGACAGAUUGGUGUAAUGGGGAUUGGCAGCAGUGUGCAGCAGGAAUUGUGGAGGCGUGCGACCAAACUGCCCAUUUGACAUUUGGGCCAGAGCCAAGGCAGAGGCAAAAUGGGAAGCAAACCAUUUCAGAAACCAUUUUAAAGCCACUAUUUGUUGUCUAUUGUGAAAAAUUGCAAAAAAAAUAUUUUA